GUCCAUGGAUGCUGCCGAGGAAGCAUUGUUAAAGUCUCUUCCCACUGCCAUCAUGUCUAAGUCAGAGUCUCCUAACGAGCCCACGCAGCUGUGCAAGCUCUUCAUCGGAAGGCUGAGCUUUGAAACGACUGAUGAGCGUCUCAGGAGCCCUUCGGAGCAAUGGAGGAAGCUCAUGGACUGUGUGGUAAUGAGAGAUCCAAAACACGAAGCACUCCAGGGACUUUGGGUUUGUCACCUGUGCCACUGUGGAGGAGGGGAUGCAGCCAUGAAUGCAAGGCCACACAAGGUGGAUGGAAGAGUCAUGGAACCAAAGAGGGCUGUCUCAAGAGAGUAUUCUCAAAGACCAGGUGCCCCCUUAACUGUGAAGAAGAUCUUUGUAGGUGGCAUUAAAGAGGACAUUGAAGAACAUCCCCUGAGAGAUUACUUUGAACAGUAUGGGAAAAUUGAAGUGAUUGAAAUCAUGACUGACUGAGGCAGUGGCAAGAAGAGGGGCUUUGCUUUUGUAACCUUUGAUGACCAUGACUCCGUGGAUAAGAUUGUCAUUCAGAAAUACCAUCCUGUGAAUGGCCACAACUGUGAAGUAAGGAAAGCCCUGUUGAAGCAAGAGAUGGCUGGUGCUUCAUCCAGCCAAAGAGGUCGGGGUGGUUCUGGAAACAUUGGUGUGGUCAUGGAGGUG